GUAACACGUAUCCAACCUGCCGUCUACUCUUGGCCAGCCUUCUGAAAGGAAGAUUAAUCCAGGAUGGCAUCAUGAGUUCACAUGUCCGCAUGAUUAAAGGUAUUUUCCGGUAGACGAUGGGGAUGCGUUCCAUUAGAUAGUAGGCGGGGUAACGGCCCACCUAGUCAACGAUGGAUAGGGGUUCUGAGAGGAAGGUCCCCCACAUUGGAACUGAGACACGGUCCAA
rnacentral:rRNA from 1 species